UAGUCCACGCCGUAAACGAUGGAUACUAGGUGUCCGGGAUAUUAACCUCCUGGGUACUACAGUUAACGCGUUAAGUAUCCCGCCUGGGGAGUACGGUCGCAAGGCUAAAACUCAAAGGAAUUGACGGGGGCCCGCACAAGCGGUGGAGUAUGUGGUUUAAUUCGAAGCAACGCGCAGAACCUUACCUACCCUUAACAUUUCACGACGUAUACAGAGAUGUAUAUUUCUCUUCGGAGACGUGAGGAUAGGUGCUGCAUGGCUGUCGUCAGCUCGUGUCGUAAGAUGUCUGGUUAAGUCCAAUAACGAGCGCAACCCUUAUCCUUAGUUACCAGCAUUAAGUUGGGGACUCUAGGGAGACUGCCGGUGUAAGCCGCGAGGAAGGUGGGGAUGACGUCAAAUCAUCAUGGCCUUUAUGCCUAGGGCUACACACGUGCUACAAUGGUGCAUACAGAGGGUAGCGAAGCCGCGAGGUGGAGCCAAUCGCAUAAAAUGCAUCCCAGUUCGGAUUGAAGUCUGGAA
rnacentral:rRNA from 1 species